GUGCUUGCUUUGGCAGCACAUAUACUAAAAUUAGAACGAUACGGAGAUUAGCAUGGCCCCUCUGCAAGGAUGACAUGCAAAUUGGUGAAACAUUCCAUAUUUUA